rnacentral:tRNA from 1 species
GGCCGAAUGGUCUAGUGGGCAAGACGCCACACUUCCAAACUUUCCUCCUCCUCUGUACUGACAUAUCAUAGUAUGAUUGUUGCUUCGGGAGAGUUUAUCCCUGUCCGCAAGGACAUUACUGUGACAGGCCCCGGGUUCAAAUCCCGGUUCGGCCC